CACUGGUUUUCUUUUAUUAGAACCCCCCCCCCAUACUUAGCACAGAGCUUGUGCUAAGGAUAGCUUAACUAUGCUAGAGAUCAAAAAGGAUUUUUACACGAUUAUGUUGUGUUACAUGCUAAAUGUUAUAUGCUUAAUAUAAUUUUUCUUCUCCUUCCUUUCUUUCCUCUCUCCCUCUCUUCUUUCCUUCCUUUCUCUAUUCUUUCUUUCCUUAUCCCCCUUCUUUGCUUCCUCACUUCCUUCUUCCCUUCCUCCCUUUACCCAUGUUCCUCCUUCCCUUCUCCAUUUCUUCUUCCUUUCUUCCCUUUCAUUCUUCCUUCCUUCCUUUUUUUCUUUCUCUUCCUUCCUUCCUUUUUUCUUUCUCUUCCUUCCUUCCUUUCUUCUUUCUCUUUCUUUCUUUCUUUCUUUCUUUCUUUCUUUCUUUCUUUCUUUCUUUCUUUCUUUCUUUCUUUCUUUCUUUCUUUCUUUCUUUCUUUCUUUCUUUCUUUCUUUCUUUCUUUCUUUCUUUCUUUCUCUCUCUUCCCUCUCUUAGAUGGUAGUGGGGAGGAGGAAUAGGUCAUUGUUUUUAUUAUUGAUAUAAUAUUCUCACAUUAUAGAUAAGGAAACCCAGUCACAGAGAAAUUAAUUGGCUUGCCAAAUAUCACUGAGCUAGCCAGAGACAGAGCUGAGUGCUCAGCCCUUUGUUUGGAGAAUAUUAGCUUAGUACCACUGUUGUGGAGGAUGAGAGAGAAAGUGAAAGAAAGCAGUAAAAAGACCAGUUAGGAGGGAACUGUAAUAGUCCAAGGCAGAGGCAAGUAGGACCUUAAAUAAGGUCACUCUAAUAGGAAUGCAGAGAAAGUGGCAGAUCAGAACAAAGUUAUGGAUGUAGGAUGGCAACUGGAUAUGUCCAAAGCAUAAAUGACAGAGAAUUGAAGAUGAGGCUGAGAUCUUUGUCAUGUGUGGUGCAUAUCUUUAUAGCAGGUCUGGAAAUGAACUGC
rnacentral:lncRNA from 1 species